GACAGAGGGGGCAAGCGUUGUCCGGACUGACUGGGCGUAAAGCGCGCGCAGGCGGUCAGAGGCGUCGGUGCUCAAAGUCCACCGCUUAACGGUGGGAGGCGUGCCGAUACGCUCUGACUGGAGGGCGGGCGAGGGUGGUGGAAUUGCCGGUGUAGUGGUGAAAUGCGUAGAGAUCUGGAGGAACACCGAUGGCGAAGGCAGCCUUCUGGGCCAACACUGACGCUCAUGCACGAAAGCGUGGGGAGCAAACAGG
rnacentral:rRNA from 1 species